AGCCAGCCUGGUAUAGUGGUUUGAGCACUGGACUAGGAAUCUGGAGACCAGGGUUCAAAUCCCUGCUUGGCUG